CUGUCUGGGCAGAGACUCAGUGCUGCCCUCCCAGGCAAAGGCAGGGCUUCAAGCAGUGCGGGUGGUGUCCCCUCUGGUCGUUAAGGGAUUAGAAACUCAGCCAGUGGAGAAGAGACUACUCUUUGCUUGAUGUCUACCAGCCCAAUUCUGAUUUCACCGUGGUGCCAGCGCUGACGUGUUUUUUUAGAUAUGAGCUUAAUGCUCAUAAAAAGCACUACUUCCCUGCCUAACUGGAGACUAGAGGAGAAACUCAAAGAAAGGAACUGAGGACAUGUCUGAAGACAACGAUGCCCUACACAGAUAGGAGCUCUUGGGGUUAUUGCCAAAGGACAGGCUGGAAUCACGAGCUUGGGCAGGAGGACCACAGACAUGCAGUGCGCUCUCGUCACAUCCUGUCAGCGGUGAGUGUUCUCACCACGACCGCCACUGUCCGCACUAACUCGGAUCACCGGUGAAGCCGUUACCGCCAGGUUUCUUCACUGUCGGGCGACUCUUUCUUUGCCCUUUCCACACUGUACUCUCUGGAAGCAGUGACCACGGGCAGCCCACACUUAAGGAGUGGUGAAUUAUGCUCCACCUCCUUGAGGGAGGGGCAUCUACAUAAAUUACUGACAGCUCUUCUCCCAGGGAGACUUGCCUGUUCUCCAUUAAUUUUGUCACAGUAGGGUCACUAAUAAAAUAAAUGGAUGUUUA